GAGCCACAGGAGGAGAGCCUGGGACCCGGAUCCCCACUUGAAGGAAAGCUACCUGAUGGCUGAGAGCACCUCUUUCGAACUUCACAUGAAAAGGAAUCCCCUGUUUGUUACUCUGCUGAGAUUUGGGGGUUUAUCUGUUUCAGCAGCAGAGUGAUCUCAACUCGCAUAACUGCAAAGGAGCAAUGUUUGCUUUCCCUCAUUCACGGGCUGCAUCCUCUCCCUCCACAAGGCUCUCCUUUUCCUUACGGUUCCCAUUUUCCCUUGGCCCUUUCCUCUGUCCUCCCGGCUUCCCCUUUCCUUGCUCCUCCUCCUCGGGGCUUCCCUGCCACUCAGGCCACGCCACAGAGGCAUCUUCACCCUCUGCGUUCUGGACGUCCUGCCUGUGACUAUGUGGACAUGCUUCUGGUUUUUCCAACAAAGCAUUCAUUUGCCUCGAUGGAGGAGUUCAAUCUGCAACAGGGGCAGCUCAUCCUGAUUCUGGGUAAAAUAGCAGCUUUAUCACAGGCAUCGAAUUACUUUCUCCAUUUUACUUCACUUUCAUUGCAUUUUGAUUGAAAAUCAAAAAAGACACAAAAUUGGGAAGCAUCUGCCUCAGGGAAGAAGUCAUCCACAGGCCACACGUCGGAGGAGGUUCUGCCAAGUGGAGUACGGAGGGGAUCAG
rnacentral:lncRNA from 1 species